UACGUAGGGUGCAAGCGUUAAUCGGAAUUACUGGGCGUAAAGCGUGCGCAGGCGGCUUUGCAAGACAGAUGUGAAAUCCCCGGGCUCAUCCUGGGAACUGCAUUUGUGACUGCAUGGCUAGAGUGCGGCAGAGGGGGAUGGAAUUCCGCGUGUAGCAGUGAAAUGCGUAGAUAUGCGGAGGAACACCGAUGGCGAAGGCAAUCCCCUGGGCCUGCACUGACGCUCAUGCACGAAAGCGUGGGGAGCAAACAGG
rnacentral:rRNA from 1 species